rnacentral:rRNA from 1 species
UCGGGAAUUUUGGGCAAUGGGGGAAACCCUGACCCAGCAACGCCGCGUGAAGGAUGAAGUAUUUCGGUAUGUAAACUUCGAAAGAAUAGGAAGAAUAAAUGACGGUACUAUUUAUAAGGUCCGGCUAACUACGUGCCAGCAGCCGCGGUAAUACGUAGGGACCAAGCGUUGUUCGGAUUUACUGGGCGUAAAGGGCGCGUAGGCGGCAUGACAAGUCACUUGUGAAAUCUCUGGGCUUAACCCAGAACGGCCAAGUGAUACUGUCGCGCUAGAGUGCAGAAGGGGCAAUCGGAAUUCUUGGUGUAGCGGUGAAAUGCGUAGAUAUCAAGAGGAACACCUGAGGUGAAGACGGGUUGCUGGGCUGACACUGACGCUGAGGCGCGAAAGCCAGGGGAGCAAACGGGAUUAGAUACCCCAGUAGUCCCUGAGCGGGCUGGCAAGGCGC